CGCAGCCACGGUAAUACGGAGGAUCCAAGCGUUAUCCGGAAUCAUUGGGUUUAAAGGGUCCGUAGGCGGUCUUGUAAGUCAGUGGUGAAAGCCCAUCGCUCAACGGUGGAACGGCCAUUGAUACUGCAGGACUUGAAUUAUUGGGAAGUAACUAGAAUAUGUAGUGUAGCGGUGAAAUGCUUAGAGAUUACAUGGAAUACCAAUUGCGAAGGCAGGUUACUACCAAUUGAUUGACGCUGAUGGACGAAAGCGUGGGUAGCGAACAGGAUUAGAUACCCGCGUAGUCCCUGUCUCUUAUACA
rnacentral:rRNA from 1 species